rnacentral:tRNA from 1 species
GAGGGUAUAGCUCAGGGGUAGAGUGUAUGCUUAGCAUGCAAAGGUCCUAGGUUCAAUCCUCAGUACCUUCA